UAAUCUCUCCAUUUCCAGGGCGGUGCAGUGUAAGAGGGCAUGUUCAGUUGUUUCUGGCUCUUCGCACUCAAGGCAGUUUGGGUUUUCUUGUGGCAUCAGUCUGGCCAUCUGUGCCUUUAGUCUGUUGUGUCCGGUUCUCAGCCUGAAGAGUAUUUGUGUUAUCUUCCUAGACUUGUGCUGGUGCCAUUUGAGGGAUCCGGUAGUGCUUGUAGAUGGCUGUUUGCUCGGAGAUUGAUAAUGGGUUAUUUGAUCUGUUUGAGGAUUCGUUGGAUGAGCUUUCUUGUGAAGCUAUGGUGUCUGCUCUCUCAUUCCCCGGGAUGCCAACAUGGCUUGGGAUCCAACAGAUCCUGGUUUUGGUGAUGCUAGUGCUUUUACUACUGACUUGGAGUCAGUAUAGACGAUUAGUUCCUGGAUGUCUUGAGGGAGAUUGUACACUAUUUCCAUUGCCCUGUGGAUUCCGUAGGCUUCUGCCGUAAGGAUGGAUGAACCCUCAGUGAGUGUACCAGCUUCUUCGAUGUUUAACGUUGGGAGUACUACUGCAUAGGUCGUAUUUUUUGUUUCUUUAUUCAGUGAUCCAUCCGUGUACGCUUCUGUUCCGUUUUCUGUCUGGGCCUUAUAUUCUUGAAAGAGCGCCCUGGCUUUCGUCUGGAGGUUGGCUAAUAUUCUUCCGCUGCGGUUGGGAUGGGUGCUUCGUGUGUCCCAUAGGCCAUGUCUUGCGUUGUAGUCGCCGCAGAAUAUGGUGUUGUUGCUGGUCAAUCUAUGCAAUUGGGUCAAUUCAUCCUCGUCGCACGCCUGGCCAUUUGGUCUGGCAGCUGAAGUUGUUUGAACUGGAGGGAUUUGUGAAUUAAUAUUGCCACGCCUCCUCCUACCUGGCCUACGCGAUUUUUAUUUACUGGAUAGUAUUGUUUGAAUUUUACGCUGAAUGAAUCUCUCCAGAACGUUUCGCAUAGUGUGACUAUGUGGGGUUUGUGAAGGUGCAAAUGUGCUUUGAAUUCUAUUAAAUUAGACUUUGUGAGA